rnacentral:misc_RNA from 1 species
UCCCGUUUGACACGGGCAGUCCCUCUAGAGUGCCCAACUUAAUGAUGGCAACUAGAGGCAAGGGUUGCGCUCGUUGCGGGACUUAACCCAACAUCUCACGACACGAGCUGAAGACAGCCAUGCAGCACCUGAACCAGAAGUCCCCGAAGGGAAGACCUUAUUUCUAAGGGUGUCCUCUGUUGUCAAGCCCAGGUAAGGUUCUUCGCGUUGCAUCGAAUUGAGCCACACGCUCCGCCGCUUGUGCGGGCCCCCGUCAAUUCCUUUGAGUUUUAAUCUUGCGACCGUACUCCCCAGGCGGUCAACUUCACGCGUUAGCUGCGGUACUAGGAAAUCGCUUCCCCAACACCUAGUUGACAUCGUUUAGGGCGUGGACUAC